rnacentral:rRNA from 1 species
AGCGAACGCUGGCGGCAGGCCUAACACAUGCAAGUCGAACGAACCUUUCGGGGUUAGUGGCGGACGUGUGAGUAACACGUGGGAACGUGCCUUUAGGUUCGGAAUAACUCAGGGAAACUUGUGCUAAUACCGAAUGUGCCCUUCGGGGGAAAGAUUAAUCGCCUUUAGAGCGGCCCGCGUCUGAUUAGCUAGUUGGUUGAGGUAAUGGCUCACCAAGGCGACGAUCAGUAGCUGGUCUGAGAGGAUGAUCAGCCACAUUGGGACUGAGACACGGCCCAAACUCCUACGGGAAGCAGCAGUGGGGAAUCUUGCGCAAUGGGCGAAAGCCUGACGCAGCCAUGCCGCGUGAAUGAUGAAGGUCUUAGGAUUGUAAAAUUCUUUCACCGGGGACGAUAAUGACGGUACCCGGAGAAGAAGCCCCGGCUAACUUCGUG